GACGGAGCACGCCGCGUGAGUGAUGAAGGUUUUCGGAUCGUAAAGCUCUGUUGUUAGGGAAGAACAAGUGCCGUUCAAAUAGGGCGGCACCUUGACGGUACCUAACCAGAAAGCCACGGCUAACUACGUGCCAGCAGCCGCGGUAAUACGUAGGUGGCAAGCGUUGUCCGGAAUUAUUGGGCGUAAAGGGCUCGCAGGCGGUUUCUUAAGUCUGAUGUGAAAGCCCCCGGCUCAACCGGGGAGGGUCAUUGGAAACUGGGGAACUUGAGUGCAGAAGAGGAGAGUGGAAUUCCACGUGUAGCGGUGAAAUGCGUAGAGAUGUGGAGGAACACCAGUGGCGAAGGCGACUCUCUGGUCUGUAACUGACGCUGAGGAGCGAAAGCGUGGGGAGCGAACAGGAUUAGAUACCCUGGUAGUCCACGCCGUAAACGAUGAGUGCUAAGUGUUAGGGGGUUUCCGCCCCUUAGUGCUGCAGCUAACGCAUUAAGCACUC
rnacentral:rRNA from 1 species